CAUGUUUUCUGUGGGUCUUUUCCAACCUGGUAGGUAGCUUCUGCUUCUCUCGCCACGGAACUCCAUUUCCUCGUACACGAGGCAACGGACCGACUGGACUCGGCUGAAGGGACGUGUCCGAGCGCCCGGUAAUUAACAUGUCCCUCAGCAACGCCAUAAUCAGAGGCCUCCUCCGAGGCUGCCACGGCAAGCCUCCUGUUUUCAAGGGUUAUGAGUUUCUGCUCUCACAUCUCUUCUUUUCCUAAAUAGCAGCGACGGAGCUGGCUGCAAGAACACUUCAGCAGCUCCUCCGUGCUGCGGUCAAAUCAUUUUUCAGUCAUGUGAAAAUCAACAAGAAAAGACCGUUGGGGUUUCAAACAGCUUUAUGUUCCCAUCUGGCAUCCGAAAAAGGCUCAUUUAACUUAACGCAGCCACAUUUUUCAAACACCUGGUUCUUCCUUGGCAUUCUGUCGAAAAAUCCUUCUUCCAAAACAAGAACGAAAUCUCAGUUAUCACUUAACCGUUCAUCAGCGCGUGUGGCGAGGAACACUCGGGAUCCAUGUGUUUCAGUUUCUGCUAUAGAACUUCAGAACCAACCAUAAUAAGACCUCACCACCGCUGCUGCCUCCUCCACGUGUAUGGAGUGCUUACGCUGGGUGCUCAGUACUGGCUCGAUCAUUCACAUCCUACCUGCCUAGACUAGGCUGCUCCCAGCUCUGAGCCUCCUGCCCUUGAAGAGAUGAACAGCCAGUGUUCAAGAGCGGUGAUAACUUGCACCCAGAGGCACCUCCACAAAUGACAGAUAGAGCAUCUGACCAACAGGCUUUCCACUAGAGGGUCCUCGAUGCUAUACUGAGCGCCAGUCAGGGCCAGGCAUGUGCUGAGCCCUGGGGAGAUGGCGGGGAACAGCCAAAGCCACUGCUUCAGGAUGUUACAAGACAAAGGGUGGACUGACAACACCAAAGUAAGCAAGAAGCUCACCUGUGACCGCCCAGCUCGAGACAACAGACUGCCACCCUGCUGUGUUCACUGAGACAGAAGACCUACCUGCUGUUUCCAUCAAUAGCUGUGCCGACAGAGCAGUCUCGAGACUAUUGUAAAAGGGACAUUUCAAUCCUAUGUGAAACAUCCUGUUUGGGGGUAUAUAACCACUCUGUGCACUCCACUUCUUUGGUGCCCUUUCUUCCUUCGGGAAGAAAGGCCCCGGGUUAUAAUCCUCAGAUUUAAGCUCAGAAUAAACUCACCCAAAUUUUCA
rnacentral:lncRNA from 1 species